UUGAUCCUGGCUCAGAAUCAACGCUGGCGGCGCGCUUAACACAUGCAAGUCGAACGAGAAAGGGGAGCAAUCCCUGAGUAAAGUGGCGUACGGGUGAGUUACACGUGGGUAAUCUACCUUUUGGUGGGGGAUAACCCUGGGAAACCGGGUCUAAUACCGCAUAAUCUCGAAAGAGCAAAGGAGCAAUUCGCCGAAAGAAUAGCCCGCGGCUGAUUAGCUAGUUGGUAGGGUAAUGGCCUACCAAGGCUUUGAUCGGUAGCCGGCCUGAGAGGGCACACGGCCACACUGGCACUGAAACAUGGGCCAGACUCCUACGGGAGGCAGCAGUGGGGAAUCUUGCACAAUGGGGUCAACCCUGAUGCAGCGACGCCGCGUGAGCGAUGAAGCCUUUCGGGGUGUUAAGCUCUUUCGACAGGAACGAUAAUGACGGUACCUGGAGAAGAAGCUGCUGCUAACUACGUGCCAGCAGCCGCGGUAAUU
rnacentral:rRNA from 1 species